CAGCCGCCACGGUAAUACGGAGGGCGCGAGCGUUACCCGGAUUUACUGGGCGUAAAGGGCGUGUAGGCGGCCUGGGGCGUCCCAUGUGAAAGGCCACGGCUCAACCGUGGAGGAGCGUGGGAUACGCUCAGGCUAGAGGGUGGGAGAGGGUGGUGGAAUUCCCGGAGUAGCGGUGAAAUGCGCAGAUACCGGGAGGAACGCCGAUGGCGGAGGCAGCCACCUGGUCCACUUCUGACGCUGAGGCGCGAAGCGUGGGGAGCAAACCGGAUUAGAUACCCCAGUAGUCCCUGUCUCUUAUACC
rnacentral:rRNA from 1 species